CCCUCGGUAGCUCACCUGGUAGAGCAUCUGACUGUAAGCGAGCAUUGUAAUCAGGAGGUAGCCUGUUCGAUCCAGGCCCGAGGGA